rnacentral:rRNA from 1 species
CCUACGGGAGGCUGCAGUGGGGAAUAUUGGACAAUGGGCGAAAGCCUGAUCCAGCCAUGCCGCGUGUGUGAAGAAGGCCUUCGGGUUGUAAAGCACUUUCAGUGGGGAAGAAAGCCUUGGGGCUAAUACCCUCGAGGAAGGACAUCACCCACAGAAGAAGCACCGGCUAACUCCGUGCCAGCAGCCACGGUAAUACGGAGGGUGCGAGCGUUAAUCGGAAUUACUGGGCGUAAAGCGCGCGUAGGCGGUCUGAUAAGCCGGUUGUGAAAGCCCCGGGCUCAACCUGGGAACGGCAUCCGGAACUGUCAGGCUAGAGUGCAGGAGAGGAAGGUAGAAUUCCCGGUGUAGCGGUGAAAUGCGUAGAGAUCGGGAGGAAUACCAGUGGCGAAGGCGGCCUUCUGGACUGAAACUGACGCUGAGGUGCGAAAGCGUGGGUAGCAAACAGGAUUAGAUACCCGAGUAGUC